CGCUGGCGGCGUGCCUAAUACAUGCAAGUCGUACGCUUCUUUUUCCACCGGAGCUUGCUCCACCGGAAAAAGAAGAGUGGCGAACGGGUGAGUAACACGUGGGUAACCUGCCCAUCAGAAGGGGAUAACACUUGGAAACAGGUGCUAAUACCGUAUAACAAUCGAAACCGCAUGGUUUUGAUUUGAAAGGCGCUUUCGGGUGUCGCUGAUGGAUGGACCCGCGGUGCAUUAGCUAGUUGGUGAGGUAACGGCUCACCAAGGCCACGAUGCAUAGCCGACCUGAGAGGGUGAUCGGCCACAUUGGGACUGAGACACGGCCCAAACUCCUACGGGAGGCAGCAGUAGGGAAUCUUCGGCAAUGGACGAAAGUCUGACCGAGCAACGCCGCGUGAGUGAAGAAGGUUUUCGGAUCGUAAAACUCUGUUGUUAGAGAAGAAUAAGGAUGAGAGUAACUGUUCAUCCCUUGACGGUAUCUAACCAGAAAGCCACGGCUAACUACGUGCCAGCAGCCGCGGUAAUACGUAGGUGGCAAGCGUUGUCCGGAUUUAUUGGGCGUAAAGCGAGCGCAGGCGGUUUCUUAAGUCUGAUGUGAAAGCCCCCGGCUCAACCGGGGAGGGUCAUUGGAAACUGGGAGACUUGAGUGCAGAAGAGGAGAGUGGAAUUCCAUGUGUAGCGGUGAAAUGCGUAGAUAUAUGGAGGAACACCAGUGGCGAAGGCGGCUCUCUGGUCUGUAACUGACGCUGAGGCUCGAAAGCGUGGGGAGCAAACAGGAUUAGAUACCCUGGUAGUCCACGCCGUAAACGAUGAGUGCUAAGUGUUGGAGGGUUUCCGCCCUUCAGUGCUGCAGCUAACGCAUUAAGCACUCCGCCUGGGGAGUACGACCGCAAGGUUGAAACUCAAAGGAAUUGACGGGGGCCCGCACAAGCGGUGGAGCAUGUGGUUUAAUUCGAAGCAACGCGAAGAACCUUACCAGGUCUUGACAUCCUUUGACCACUCUAGAGAUAGAGCUUCCCCUUCGGGGGCAAAGUGACAGGUGGUGCAUGGUUGUCGUCAGCUCGUGUCGUGAGAUGUUGGGUUAAGUCCCGCAACGAGCGCAACCCUUAUUGUUAGUUGCCAUCAUUCAGUUGGGCACUCUAGCAAGACUGCCGGUGACAAACCGGAGGAAGGUGGGGAUGACGUCAAAUCAUCAUGCCCCUUAUGACCUGGGCUACACACGUGCUACAAUGGGAAGUACAACGAGUCGCGAAGUCGCGAGGCUAAGCUAAUCUCUUAAAGCUUCUCUCAGUUCGGAUUGUAGGCUGCAACUCGCCUACAUGAAGCCGGAAUCGCUAGUAAUCGCGGAUCAGCACGCCGCGGUGAAUACGUUCCCGGGCCUUGUACACACCGCCCGUCACACCACGAGAGUUUGUAACACCCGAAGUCGGUGAGGUAACCUUUUGGAGCCAGCCGCCUAAGGUGGGAUAGAUGAU
rnacentral:rRNA from 1 species